GCCCCGAUAGUGCAGCGGCCAAGCAUCCAGCCUUCUCAAGGCUGUGACCCGGGUUCGAAUCCCGGUCGGGGCA
rnacentral:tRNA from 1 species